GAAAGAACGAACUGGGGGUAUAGGUCAGUGGGAAGGCCUUGGGUUUAACCUCUAGUACUGAAAAAACAAAUCUGUUGCUGUAAUAUUUAUGGACUAGUAAAAGUGGAUAAAAUGUUUCCAAUUUAUUGUGCCAGGUACAAAGUUCAGAUUAUGUACUGUUCUCUCUGAACUGAACAGCUGUAAGGAGCACAACAGAUACUGUUUAUUUAUGGAGUAUCUGUUGUAAAAAUCCUUUAGUUUGUAAUUCCUGGGUUGGUUUCAACCCCAGCUAAGAAAUCCUGAUUUAAUUGUGUUGUCAAGUUUGAUUGUUUCGCAGAGUGUAGCCCCCGGCUGUCUGUUCGCAGGGUAACCUAACUCGGAGUGGUGUCUGUGGGCCAUCAGAGCCCGGUGUGCAGGGGGAGGAGAAACGAGCUGUCCCCUUUCCAUCCCAGCGGCUGCCUGUCAUCAGAAAUGGGAGAAAUUGCUCACUGCUAAUUUGAGGGCACUGAUUCAGAAACCAGCUGCAAGGCCAGAGCGGGAAUCCGGUUUUGCAGAACACACACGCCCUGCCUGACUGGAUGGGGAUGGCAGAUGGAGGGGACCCAUGGCUCUGCUCUCCUCUGUGCUCCUGUAUUCCUUGGAUGUUAGGGAUCCUCCGAAAUUCAUUUCAUUUUCACUUUGCCACCAGGCACUGGCUGAUAACAAGUAUAUUGUUUGUUGAGUAGUACAAUAAAUGGCAAGAUAGGUUUGUAUUUAUCUAUCUCAAAACAGCUGCCUGGCAGAGAACCUAGUCUUUGGUUAAAGCUUUAGAAAACCAGAGCUCUAAAGCCUAAUCUUGUCUAGUUUGAUUAUUGGCUUGCUUGAUAUUCUUUAAUAAAUAAUCUAGCCUGGGUGCUGUCACAGGAGCUAAUUCUGCUUCUGAAAUGAUUGUUCAUAAUGGUAAUUAGAAGCUACAUUUUAUUUCAUGAGACUUUUUUUUUUUGGUACAGGGGAUCGAACUCGGGACCUUGCGGUUUCGAGACAGGCAGCAGAACCACUGAGCUAAAUCCCUGGCCCGAGACUUUUUUUUUUUUGAGACAGGAUCUCACUGUGUAGUUCAGGCUGGCCUUGAGCUCACUUUGUAGCCCAGGCUGGCCCAAACUCCUGCCUCAGUUUCCCAAAUUCUGGGAUUACAGGCUUGCAAUGCCACCCCUGGCUGAGACUUUUAAAAUUUGUCUUUUAAUCUGAAGUUUUGCAAGUUCUCAUUGAAACAUUUAUCUCAAUCUAAAUUUGCUUUAUGUAAUUGUAACAAAGAAAAAUUCAUCCAAUAAAAACUAUAAAAUACUAAUUUUUUAUCAGUGUAGGGAGAAGAAGCAUAAAUGACUUGUUUUUCACAAAAAUAGCCUUUCUGUAUCUGAGUCAAAAAGAUCCAACCACUUCCACUAUCAGGGUAAAGGCCCUUAGUUAGAGCAGAGGGUGUGGCUCCGUGGUAAGAUCCUUGUCUAGCAGGCGCAAGGCUCUGGGUUUGACCCAACAUCAGCACUGAGGAAAGAAAAAGUCCUAGUUCUAUCUACGUGGCUCGGUGUCCUAACCCUGAAGUACAAUACCUGUUUCUUUCAGGGGUCCUUUUCUUUGCCGUACUGGGGAUUGAACUCAGGGCCUUUGCACUAGAGCUACAUCCACAGCCCUUUACUAUUUAGAGAUCAUGAUGUGCCAAAUCUCUAAAUUGUUUGGGCUGGGCUCAAACUAAUCCUUCUGCCUCAGCCUCCAGAGUGCUGGGAUUACA
ensembl:lncRNA